rnacentral:misc_RNA from 1 species
UCUCCGUAGGUGAACCUGCGGAGGGAUCAUUACAGAGUUCUCGCCCUCGCGGGUAGAUCUCCCACCCCCUGUUAUCGUUACUGUGUUGCUUUGGCGGGCCGCCGGGCCCCGCUCGGCCGCCGGCUCCGGCUGGCGCGCGCCCGCCAGAGGCCCAGCAAACUCUGAAUGUUAGUGUCGUCUGAGUACUAUGUAAUAGUUAAAACUUUCAACAACGGAUCUCUUGGUUCUG